rnacentral:rRNA from 1 species
UAAUACGGAGGGUGCGAGCGUUGUUCGGAAUUACUGGGCGUAAAGCGCGUGCAGGCGGCCGACUAAGUCCGGUGUGAAAGCCCGGGGCUCACCCCCGGAAGUGCGCUGGAAACUGGUCGGCUAGAGUACGGGAGAGGGAAGCGGAAUUCCUGGUGUAGCGGUGAAAUGCGUAGAUAUCAGGAGGAACACCGGCGGCGAAGGCGGCUUCCUGGACCGAUACUGACGCUGAGACGCGAAAGCGUGGGGAGCAAACAGGAUUAGAUACCCUGGUAGUCCACGCUGUAAACGAUGGGUACUAGGUGUCGCGGGUGUUGACCCCUGCGGUGCCGCAGCUAACGCAUUAAGUACCCCGCCUGGGGAUUACGGUCGCAAGAUUA